GCUGGACUUGUGGUAUGAUUCUCGCUUUGGGUGCGAGAGGCCGCGGGUUCGAUUCCCGCAACU
rnacentral:tRNA from 1 species